AAAAACUAAGAGGGAACCUCGAGGGGAAGAACCAGUUCCUUGGAUUUCUACACCUUGGGAGCGAAGUCUACCCUCUCCAUUCUUGUGCCUUCAUUCCAUGGAAAACAGCACUCGAAAACAGCCCUGAAGCGGCACUCCAUCCUGACGAGACCUCACCUUUCUUUGCCCAGGGGGUGGGGGGGGGGUCUUCCCAUUCCACAUAAUGGCCGUGAAAGCAUCCGUCUGCCCAGGUUUUCUCUUUUAAUUAGGAAAAGAAUACUGCAUGGGCUGUUGUGGGACCUCUGCCAUCCAAAGUCAAAAUAAAUCGAGACAACUGCCACAUCAAACGUUACAUUUAAGAUUAAGAAAAACAGAUGGAGCCGCGGAGGAAUCUUUUUCAGGGUUGGAUAAGGGCGUUCCGGUUCGGGACAAAAAUGCCAAUGAAGGAGAGCAGAGCCAUGGGGUUACACAAUAACCAGCCAAUUAAAAAAUCUUCUGAAGCCCAGGGCUGCUUGACAUAUCAGUGACCAGGUUCAAAAAUAACCUUGUGCAACAGCUGCAGACUCAAGACUUUCCAAACAGAGACUCGGGAUUUUCCAAACACCCUAUUCCCUGAUUUAUUGGGAAUACAGACAUUCUUCUCCCCUUUACUAACCUUCUCCCACUCUGAAGCCUGUAGAAACCACAAGUAUAUCACCUUUUCCCAUUCUUCGUAAGAACGCUUUCUCUCUCUGCUUGGCUUGCAUAAACACUUUUCAGACAAUAAAUGUUUUGU